CGUGCCAGCAAAAAUGUUUUAUUAGGGAUAAAUAGGUAACUGUAUUUCCUAUAAGCUACUGCAAAUGUAGCGAACUUUACAAGUGCCAAGUGUGGAAAUCACUGUAAGUGGAAGGAAUCCUCCUGCCUUUCAUCACCUCCUGUCCAGCUCCAGGUGGAGAAGGGAGAAAGGGAAUGACUGUGAUCUUCAUGCUCACACGGCCUAAGUGCCGUCAGGUACUGAGUGAAGAGCAACUCAUUGCUUUCUUUGUUACAUGGACAGAAAAAGGCAGUAGCCCCAUCCCAAGUUGCAACAGGUCUGCUGUGUCACAGUCAUGUCACAAGGGGCAGCCACAAGCUCCAUGAACCACCCUGCAGCUGCCACAGAACCACCAGAACAUUGGUGGUGGCUGAGUUCCAGAUUGAGCUUGGUAUCACAGCAGCCUGGUAUCACAGCAGCCUGGUACAGAAGCUGGAAUGGCUGACAAAAAGGGUACUGUCAGCCAGAGAUCGUCACUAAGUACCAAAGUGCUGGCACUGGACUUACUGAAUUGCAAUGGCCCUUUCAACACAUGGCCAUGGAAAUGGCUGGCAGACAAGUAACCUGGUGAGCAAGGGCCUGCAUGGGACAACAGCACAGGCAGCUGCUUCUUUGUUUCUUCUCUGUCUUGAAGAUGGACAUCUGGACACACAUGGAACCAGCCCAGAGCAGCAUCCACCAACCAGCCUGUGUCUGCACCUGGACAAGGCAUCGACCGAAGCAUGCUGAAAGCAUAUGCCCUGCUCUGCGUGACACUGUGGCCGUAAAGGAUCUGAGGAUCUGCAAGGCGUGGACAGAGGGAACUCCCCAGCACCUACCAUCUACAGACCCCACCAUGGACCUACACACACACGGAUGUUUUCCACAGACAUAGGCAACUCCACACCAUUCACCUUAUGAUGGAGACGAGACCUUGAAUGUUGCAUACAUCAGCAUCUCAAGGAAACAUAUGGAUUGUGUAAGAAUCUUUGAAGAAAAGAACAGAGCUAAAAAAGGAUGGAUGGGUCCAAUUGAGAAAAAACGUAGACACCAUACCCAGAAAAGAAGACAAACACUAUAACUGUGCAUGCUCCUGAGACCAGGGAUGAAAGUUUAGGAGUAAUGCAGACUAUCAGCCUUCCUCCCUCAACCCCCAGAUGACCACUGAGAUGCUAUCACAGAAUUUAAAAAAGAAUUAAAAACCUUCAAAUAAACUUUCUGUUUCAUUAAA